UUUAAUCUAUUCAGAGGAACCUGUUGUGUAAUUGAUAAUCCACGAUUUAUUAAAC
rnacentral:tRNA from 1 species